rnacentral:rRNA from 1 species
UGGGGAAUAUUGCACAAUGGAGGGAACUCUGAUGCAGCGACGCCGCGUGAACGAAGAAGGCUUUCGAGUCGUAAAGUUCUUUUAUAUGGGAAGAUAAUGACGGUACCAUAAGAAAAAGCCCCGGCUAACUCCGUGCCAGCAGCCGCGGUAAUACGUAGGGGGCUAGCGUUGUCCGGAAUCACUGGGCGUAAAGGGUUCGCAGGCGGAAAUGCAAGUCAGGUGUAAAAGGCAGUAGCUUAACUACUGUAAGCAUUUGAAACUGCAUAUCUUGAGAAGAGUAGAGGUAAGUGGAAUUUUUAGUGUAGCGGUGAAAUGCGUAGAUAUUAAAAAGAAUACCGGUGGCGAAGGCGACUUACUGGGCUCAUUCUGACGCUGAGGAACGAAAGCGUGGGUAGCAAACAGG